rnacentral:lncRNA from 1 species
AGAUGGCAGUGGAGGGCAGGCCAGCGCGGAGCCCUACACGCAGCCUUUUUUUUUCAACCGUAAAGAUCAUAUAUUGAUGUGCGUUUAGGAAUUACAAUGUGGACCUCACAGUCCGUGAGUGUUGCUAAGGCAUUUCAUUGGCAGCAUUCGUUUGCCUCCCUAGGUCCUGCAAUCUUGACAUUUUAAGGUGGGGGCUACAGAGUGAACUCAAAAUAACUGAUGGAAUGAGUUAGUAUUUUAUCAAAAGCAUUGGCUGGAGGAUUCACCCAUCUGGCCUCAGCAAUCUGGCCUCCUAGACAACUGCAGAAGUAAAUAAAACCAAAUAAGAAAACGAGAAAACAACUGCCACUAUUUAUUGAGCUCCAUAUGGAAACACAGCAGAGAGUCUGCUUAGCUUUUCAUGACGUCAAAGAUGAAAACCCAUGUAAUCCCAGAUUCUACAGAUGAAGAACUGGGAUUGCAUUCAAUAAGUGCAACCAGAGUUGUUAUGAGACCAGAACCUCAUAACACUUAAAGUGCUGAAAGAAAGAACUGUCCAUCCAGAAUUCUAUAUCCAACAAAAAUAUCCCUCAAAAAUGAAGAUGAAAGACAUUCUCAAAUAAAGGAACACAAAGAGAAUUCAUUACCAGCAGACCUGGUC